UAUACUAUAACUGGACUGCGGAUGUUCGAUGUGUUGUGAAGCAACGGCUGGGGGCGGGACAUGGGACGAUUUUUGGGCGGAAGAAGGAAGUAGAGCGCCUUUUUCCAUUGAUCUCUAUGGUGGACUUGAAGCCAUAUAGUUCCUAGGCAAUUCUUGCCGAGUCGGCCCUGUUUCGUUAAAACGGUAGUCUCCCCUCCCUCCCAAACAACCCAGAUAUUUUUUUCGGGCUGACCCUUUAUUUAAGAAAGCUAUUAAAAUAGUUUAAAUGACCAAUGAGCAUGGCUAUUUGGGUUGAUUGGCAGUUGCCAUUCUUUAGAAUUAUUGUUUUGAUUGACAGGCAGGCCGUUGUCAAGGAGAAGGGCGAGUCUCGCGGCGUCUCCAGGGGAAGCCCCCUCCCUCCCUGCUGCAUUACUUUCAACCAGCUCUGCUUUCAACAGCUUCAUUACUGCGAUGGGUUAUUUAAUUUUGGUACACUUUCCCCACAAAUAUGCGUUGUUGUACUUUUGGAUGUACUUCUCCGUACUCUGUAAGGACCUCUGCAGUUUUGGCAAACAACAAACCACACUUCACCUGGAAAACAGAGCCAGGACUCACUGUCAGAUGUCUGAAAAUGUACAGUAGGCUACACGCCAGCAGGUCUCACCAUAAUCAACAUCAUCAAGGAUUGUCACUCUGACCUGAGAAGAGGCCCCAUAGAGACACGGACAAGGACCAGCCACUGUUGCCAGUGCACAACUGAGGACCCGACCAGCCUGCUGCCAUCUAUGAUACUAUAUAGUACACGCGGAGCGGUCUGAAGACGUGGAGUACACUGCAGCAGGUAUCACAUGACCAAGGACUUGGACAACGUCUCUGUUUACAUCUAUAGUGUAUUACACAACUGAAGAUGUGCACAGUACGCUACUGCCUGCAUCCUACCACCACAGAGGAUCCGAUAUGCAGAACCAGCUUCAAAAACCAUUGCAAUUAUGAAACACAGUUAAUAAAUGCUUAUAUACAGCA